rnacentral:lncRNA from 1 species
UCCCCCGUUCGCAUCCCGCGAAACUCGCGUGGUUCGUUUCAUCUCAUAUAUCCUGCCGGUGUCCGCCGCUGCAGUCCGUUGCAGACGCCGGCCCCGGGUCCGUUGGCGUUGCCCGCCCGCCCGCCUGCAGCUUCGUCAUCUGAUCAUUGCCCACGCUCUUUUGGUUGACGCCGGCCGAUGUCACAUCAGUCAGCCACCGCCUCAUCUCUCACAGACAGUCACAGGUUCUCAGCUGCCGCAUUGGAGACUGAUUAUUUCUAUGCAUUUGCAGACGAGGAUACACGUACGUCGCCGCGUCAGAUGAUGAGACGAGUCGUCUGGUACAUGCUUUGCCGGAACGGAGAUGUGCACGGCAGGCAGUUCUUCGGCCUGACCCUGGGGUACCCUUUAUCCUUGCGAUAUGGUCGACCAUCUUUGUUAUAGCUAUAGCGUGGCGUGGCGUGGCGUGCGGCAGAAGCGUGUAGGUUUGCAGAGCGCGCCAUAGCCUGCAAGGAUCGGACCAAGUAAAGGUGGCUGAGCUGGAGCGCACCUCCAUCGUCCCCUGGGCCGGCCGGACCCGGACGCCCGGUCAGCCGCCGCCGCCGCGCGCCGUUGCCUGCCCGGUUGGCCGCUUCGUCACGCGUUGCGGCGCAUUGCCAGCGCCCAAUGCCUCGGGUCUGGACGGAGUAGCUAGUAGUGGUGUGAUUGGCAUCUAGCUAAGCUAGCUCAGCCAGCCUUCAAGUUCAAGGCGCGAGUAGUCCCUCCCUCCCAUCCCAGCGCGCGGUUUUCCGGGGACGAACGUACCGGCCGCAUUUUCGUUGCCAGCUCCUUUUCUUCUGCCUGCUUUUCUGAUUUCUUUUGGUGCUCAGCUCAGGUAUCGGCCGGUCUUUGCAGUACCUAAGCAACAAGCAGGGGCGGACUCAGCACCUUGUCCGGUUACGAGUGCAUCUCAGAUUUAAAUAUAUAUAUAUAUAUAUGUACUUUAUAAAAUUAGCUACGGUUAUUAGUACUUGAUAAUCUUGUCGUCUAAACUGUCUUCAAUUUCUAGGUCUGCCACAGGCAACAAGUGAGGAACCUAGCCUAGCUACGAGGAUUCAAGGAACAUGGGAGAAAAUGGGUACUCUCUCUAUCCACAUAAUUUAGUUAUUUUGAGUUUGUCCUAAGUCAAUUAUUAUUAAUUUUGAUCAGUUAUAUAGGAUGUUUCAUAAGAUUUUACAACAAAAAAGUAAGUUACUAGAUUCUUCGUGAUUUGAACUAUCAUAAUUUCAAAAUGAUUUAAUCUUAUAUAUAUAUUAUAUUGAUCAAAGUUAAAAUAGUUUGAUUUAGGACAAUUUUAAAACAACUAAAUUAUGUGAACGGAGAGAGUAUUCACUAAUUAAUGACCGAGGCCGACACGCUGCGUAUAAAUAGGAUAUUAUUACCUUUUGACACGUACGAUCUGCUGACUACUACUAGUAAUCUUACGGUACUGAGGACGGUGUGAUCGCAGUGUUUUCUCUACUUUUCUCAACAAUACACCGGGCAUGUUUUUUGUGUGUGCAUGCAUCAUUUCACGCGCAAAUACAUUCUACUCUAAACUCAAAGUAGGCAGUGUUCACAAGAAUACACCAUGUAGGAUAGAACGUAUGUUGCAAUUUAUUAAGGGCCAUGUUUGUUCAUCAGAAUCGACUUCUAGCAGUCAAAGGUACGUUUCGUUUUUCAGCUUACUUCUGUAAAAGUCGUUUCUACGAAAAUCGUUCAAAUCAACAUGAAUAUAAAGUCUAUCGAGCCAUCACAGCGGGUGGAAUCAAUCCACCACUCUUAAACCCUAAACCGUGGAGACUUAUUCAUCUUUCUCCGCAUGUAAGUCUUAUGGAAUCUAGAUUCUAGUGACAUAUAGAUUAUCUAGAAAUUCUGGUUCUUAGAAAAAGCUCUCUGAAAAAAAUUGUUCCAAGCAUGCGGAAGCCUCGGGCUAUAACAACCUUAGCGAAUCAAAAAAUACAUUUUCAAAACUUUCAGAACCUAGAUGGUACCUUCAAACAACUUUAAGCAUUACUAAUAUAUAAAUUUUACUUUUAUAUUUUUAGCUUCUUGGAAGUUAUUUCUGGAAUUUUUUAAAAACCAAUUAAUAGCUGGACUGUUUAUUUUAGCUUCUCGGCACAUCAAAAAUGGAAUAUCUGUUAGAAGUCAACUUUCUAGUCUUUCAAAAUCCAACUCAACAGUCCAACCGUUUAUUUCAGCUUCUAGUUUAUCAGCGCGCGCUUAAAAUCAACAAAAUGUAAAACAAGCAGGCCCUAAAAGCAGCGCACGCCAAUAGUAAUUUGUUUCACAUUUCGUUCGGACUCUACAAACAAUUACAAGUAACGUGAUAAUAAUGAAAUGAUGGGUACAAUUUUCAUUGGUGAGAAAAUGGUCUCAAUUCGGAACAAACUAAUUUAUCGCCUACACUCUUACACGAGCUAGAAUUUUUUAUAAGACAAGUAUUCAAAAUUUGUGAAUAAAUUUAGUACUUACAUCUAAUCAAAAUCACUCAUCUUUAUUGUUGGGAGCUUUCUCCUUCCAAAAGUCUUCAAAAACAUAAUUAAUCAAUGUUUUUAGCAUAAGUCAUUACAGGAAGCUUCGUUUUUAGAAUGCAAGCCUCUUUCUCAUGAUGAAGACACGAAAUGAAGAUCAGAUCUAAAAAGGAUAAGAAUAAACGCCGACCUAUUAACAGAUGGACAACUUCGGCUCAUAACGGAGAUGAAGUAUAAUGAUGAUGCUGACCCGAAAGAGGAAAAAACUACUUAGUCCUUAAUGAUUUGUAUUUUGAUCAUAUAUAAAUAUUGAGGACAUAAAUAUACUUUCACCCGGGUUGCGUCCCGUGCCUUUAAAUAGAUGAACAGUAGCACCGUACUGUUCACGCUGAAUGAUAAUCACUCUCUCGCGUCUUCACCUUCGAACAAGUCGAAAGUAUCAAUGUAAUAUGAAUUCUGUUGAUAUUCAUACAUGUUUUAUAGAAUACGAACGUGAAGGAAUUAAUGAGAUGCAAUUACUGUCU